AGGUGCGAUCAUACCAGCACUAAGGUACUGGAUCCCAUCAGAACUCCGCAGUUAAGCGUGUUUGGGUGAGAGUAAUACUAGGAUGGGUGACCUUCUGGGAAGUCCUUGUGUUGCACCUC
rnacentral:rRNA from 1 species